ACCCAGAUAUAGCUCAGUUGGCAGAGCAUGAGACUCCUUAUCUCAGGGUCACAGGUUUGAGCCCCACGUUGGGCA